UACGUAGGUGGCUAGCGUUGUCCGGAAUCAUUGGGCGUAAAGCGCGUGUAGGCGGCCCGAUAAGUCCGCUGUGAAAGUCCAGGGCUCAACCCUGGGAUGCCGGUGGAUACUGUCGGGCUCGAGUCCGGAAGAGGCGAGUGGAAUUCCUGGUGUAGCGGUGAAAUGCGCAGAUAUCAGGAGGAACACCAAUGGCGAAGGCAGCUCGCUGGGACGUGACUGACGCUGAGACGCGAAAGCGUGGGGAGCAAACAGG
rnacentral:rRNA from 1 species